CCACAAAUUUACGCCAUGCAUGUCUAAGUAUAAACUGCUUAUACUGUGAAACUGCGAAUGGCUCAUUAAAUCAGUUAUAGUUUAUUUGGUGGUACCUUUCAAUGCGAAUACCCGAAUAAUUUCUAGAUCUAAAACGGGCGUAAUUCCCAAUUUCGGAAAGGAACUUAUUUUUUAAAUAAAAGGCCGACCGAGCUUUGCUCGCCCCGGGGAGACUCAUGAAAUCUUCGAAAAGCGCAUGGCCUUGUGCCGGAUCUGUUCCUUUCAUUUUUCUGCUCUAUCAUUUUUCGGUGGGAAGAAAGACGCCUACCAUGGGGAUCACGGAUGAAGGAGGAUUAUGCUACGAUUCCGGAGAGGAAACAUGAAAAACGACUACCGCAUCCAAGGGAGGCAGCAGGCCCGCAAACCACCCCCCCCUGAUACGGGGAAGUAACGACCAUAAAUAACACUGCGGAACAUUUCCUGUCGGGUAGAUGGAAUGAUUACUAUCUAAAUCCCUAACCAAUGAUCCAUUGGACGGCAAGUCGGGUGCCAGCACCCUCGGUAUUUCCCCCUCCAAGAACAUAUAUUUAAGUUGAUGCAGCUAACUCGCUCGUAGAUGGAUUACGGGUGGGUUCUAUCGGUCCGCCCAUGGCGAGGACUGCUAUGCCCUUCCUUGCUGUCAAGAACGGCCUUCUGGUCUUCGCUGUCCGGCACCACGACUCUACGUGCUUACUAUCAAUAAGAACAGUGUAACAGCCGCUUACACCAUAUUACUUAAUAUGGAAAUCACACACGACUCUAGUCUAUCGUGUUGUCUGAAACA
rnacentral:rRNA from 1 species